rnacentral:tRNA from 1 species
AAGAUAUUAGUAAAAACAUUACAUAACUUUGUCAAAGUUAAUUUAUAGGUUAGACCCCUUUAUAUCUUU